rnacentral:rRNA from 1 species
GACGAACGCUGGCGGCGUGCUUAACACAUGCAAGUCGAACGGAAAGGCCAUGCUUUUGUGGGGUGCUCGAGUGGCGAACGGGUGAGUAACACGUGAGUAACCUGCCCUUGACUUUGGGAUAACUUCAGGAAACUGGGGCUAAUACCGGAUAGGAGCUCCUGCUGCAUGGUGGGGGUUGGAAAGUUUCGGCGGUUGGGGAUGGACUCGCGGCUUAUCAGCUUGUUGGUGGGGUAGUGGCUUACCAAGGCUUUGACGGGUAGCCGGCCUGAGAGGGUGACCGGCCACAUUGAGACUGAGAUACGGCCCAGACUCCUACGGGAGGCAGCAGUGGGGAAUAUUGCACAAUGGGCGGAAGCCUGAUGCAGCAACGCCGCGUGCGGGAUGACGGCCUUCGGGUUGUAAACCGCUUUCGCCUGUGACGAAGCGUGAGUGACGGUAAUGGGUAAAGAAGCACCGGCUAACUACGUG